UACGUAGGGGGCAAGCGUUGUCCGGAUUUACUGGGCGUAAAGAGCGUGUAGGCGGCCUCACAGGUCCGUUGUGAAAACUGAAGGCUUAACCUUCAGACGUCGACGGAAACCGUGUGGCUAGAGUCCGGAAGAGGAGAGUGGAAUUCCUGGUGUAGCGGUGAAAUGCGCAGAUAUCAGGAAGAACACCAAUGGCGAAGGCAGCUCUCUGGGACGGUACUGACGCUGAGACGCGAAAGCGUGGGGAGCAAACAGG
rnacentral:rRNA from 1 species